rnacentral:rRNA from 1 species
CAACCUGCCCUUCAGAGGGGGACAACAGUUGGAAACGACUGCUAAUACCGCAUAAUGUAUCCGGGAGGCAUCUCCUGGAUACCAAAGGAGAAAUCCGCUGAUGGAUGGGCUCACGUCUGAUUAGCUAGUUGGUGAGGUAACGGCUCACCAAGGCUGCGAUCAGUAGUCGGACUGAGAGGUUGAACGGCCACAUUGGGACUGAGAUACGGCCCAG